rnacentral:rRNA from 1 species
UACGUAGGGUGCGAGCGUUAAUCGGAAUUACUGGGCGUAAAGCGUGCGCAGGCGGUUUUGUAAGCCAGAUGUGAAAUCCCCGGGCUUAACCUGGGAAUGGCAUUUGGGACUGCAAGGCUUGAGUUUGGCAGAGGAGACUGGAAUUCCUGGUGUAGCAGUGAAAUGCGUAGAUAUCAGGAGGAAUACCGAUGGCGAAGGCAGGUCUCUGGGCUGACACUGACGCUCAUGCACGAAAGCGUGGGGAGCAAACAGGAUUACGAA